AAAGAUAUGCAUGUGAUUUGACACCACCACACAACACGCCCAAAGGCUGUCCCAAAGGAGGCAAUCAAUUAUUAAUAAGACUUAAAACUUCUUUUAAGAGGUCUUAAGUUUGAAUCUCACAUGGUGAGAGGUAUAUGGCAAAGGGGAGAGCUAACCCUCCUAUUAUCAACUAACUAGUGUGUGUGUGUGUGUGUGUAGAGAGAGAGAGAGAGAGAGAGAGAGAGAGAGAGAGAGAAGAACCUUAUGCUAGAAGCAUUUCCAGCUGUAACUGAUCCACCACUAACCUUGAAACUUGGUCUAAGCUUCCUCAAUUUGGC
rnacentral:lncRNA from 1 species